GAUGAAGAACGUAGUGAAAUGCGAUAAGUAAUGUGAAUUGCAGAAUUCAGUGAAUCAUCGAAUCUUUGAACGCACAUUGCGCCCUAUGGUAUUCCGUAGGGCAUGCCUGUUCGAGCGUCAUUCAAACCUUCAAGCUCUGCUUGGUGUUGGGCGUCUGUCCUGCCUCACGGCGCGGACUCGCCUCAAAUCUAUUGGCGGCCGGCACGUUGGCUUCGAGCGCAGCAGAAACGCGAACUCGAGACCGGCGGAUCGGCUCCCAGAAGCUACCCCCAUGAAUUUGACCUCGGAUCAGGUAGGGAUACCCGCUGAACUUAAGCAUAUCAAUAAGCGGAGGA
rnacentral:misc_RNA from 1 species